CCGGCGAUGUCCGAAUGGGGAAACCCAGUGCAAUUCGUUGCACUAUCGUUAACUGAAUACAUAGGUUAACGAGGCGAACCGGGGGAACUGAAACAUCUAAGUACCCCGAGGAAAAGAAAUCAACCGAGAUUCCCCCAGUAGCGGCGAGCGAACGGGGAGCAGCCCAGAGUCUGAAUCAGCUUGUGUGUUAGUGGAACGGUCUGGAAAGUCCGACGGUACAGGGUGAUAGUCCCGUACACCAAAAUGCACAGGUUGUGAACUCGAAGAGUAGGGCGGGACACGUGGUAUCCUGUCUGAAUAUGGGGGGACCAUCCUCCAAGGCUAAAUACUCCUGACUGACCGAUAGUGAACCAGUACCGUGAGGGAAAGGCGAAAAGAACCCCGGCGAGGGGAGUGAAAAAGAACCUGAAACCGUGUACGUACAAGCAGUGGGAGCACCUUCGGGUGUGACUGCGUACCUUUUGUAUAAUGGGUCAGCGACUUAUAUUCUGUAGCAAGGUUAACCGUAUAGGGGAGCCGCAGGGAAACCGAGUCUUAACUGGGCGUUAAGUUGCAGGGUAUAGACCCGAAACCCGGUGAUCUAGCCAUGGGCAGGUUGAAGGUUGGGUAACACUAACUGGAGGACCGAACCGACUAAUGUUGAAAAAUUAGCGGAUGACUUGUGGCUGGGGGUGAAAGGCCAAUCAAACCGGGAGAUAGCUGGUUCUCCCCGAAAGCUAUUUAGGUAGCGCCUCGUGAACUCAUCUUCGGGGGUAGAGCACUGUUUCGGCUAGGGGGUCAUCCCGACUUACCAACCCGAUGCAAACUACGAAUACCGAAGAAUGUUAUCACGGGAGACACACGGCGGGUGCUAACGUCCGUCGUGAAGAGGGAAACAACCCAGACCGCCAGCUAAGGUCCCAAAGUCAUGGUUAAGUGGGAAACGAUGUGGGAAGGCACAGACAGCCAGGAUGUUGGCUUAGAAGCAGCCAUCAUUUAAAGAAAGCGUAAUAGCUCACUGGUCGAGUCGGCCUGCGCGGAAGAUGUAACGGGGCUAAACCAUGCACCGAAGCUGCGGCAGCGACACUAUGUGUUGUUGGGUAGGGGAGCGUUCUGUAAGCCUGCGAAGGUGUGCUGUGAGGCAUGCUGGAGGUAUCAGAAGUGCGAAUGCUGACAUAAGUAACGAUAAAGCGGGUGAAAAGCCCGCUCGCCGGAAGACCAAGGGUUCCUGUCCAACGUUAAUCGGGGCAGGGUGAGUCGACCCCUAAGGCGAGGCCGAAAGGCGUAGUCGAUGGGAAACAGGUUAAUAUUCCUGUACUUGGUGUUACUGCGAAGGGGGGACGGAGAAGGCUAUGUUAGCCGGGCGACGGUUGUCCCGGUUUAAGCAUGUAGGCUGGUUGUCCAGGCAAAUCCGGAUAAUCAAGGCUGAGGUGUGAUGACGAGGCACUACGGUGCUGAAGUAACAAAUGCCCUGCUUCCAGGAAAAGCCUCUAAGCAUCAGGUAACAUCAAAUCGUACCCCAAACCGACACAGGUGGUCAGGUAGAGAAUACCAAGGCGCUUGAGAGAACUCGGGUGAAGGAACUAGGCAAAAUGGUGCCGUAACUUCGGGAGAAGGCACGCUGGUGUGUAGGUGAAGUCCCUGCGGAUGGAGCUGAGACCAGUCGAAGAUACCAGCUGGCUGCAACUGUUUAUUAAAAACACAGCACUGUGCAAACACGAAAGUGGACGUAUACGGUGUGACGCCUGCCCGGUGCCGGAAGGUUAAUUGAUGGGGUUAUCCGUAAGGAGAAGCUCUUGAUCGAAGCCCCGGUAAACGGCGGCCGUAACUAUAACGGUCCUAAGGUAGCGAAAUUCCUUGUCGGGUAAGUUCCGACCUGCACGAAUGGCGUAAUGAUGGCCAGGCUGUCUCCACCCGAGACUCAGUGAAAUUGAACUCGCUGUGAAGAUGCAGUGUACCCGCGGCAAGACGGAAAGACCCCGUGAACCUUUACUAUAGCUUGACACUGAACAUUGAGCCUUGAUGUGUAGGAUAGGUGGGAGGCUUUGAAGCGUGGACGCCAGUCUGCGUGGAGCCAACCUUGAAAUACCACCCUUUAAUGUUUGAUGUUCUAACGUUGGCCCCUGACCGGGGUUGCGGACAGUGUCUGGUGGGUAGUUUGACUGGGGCGGUCUCCUCCCAAAGCGUAACGGAGGAGCACGAAGGUUAGCUAAUCCUGGUCGGACAUCAGGAGGUUAGUGCAAUGGCAUAAGCUAGCUUGACUGCGAGCGUGACGGCGCGAGCAGGUGCGAAAGCAGGUCAUAGUGAUCCGGUGGUUCUGAAUGGAAGGGCCAUCGCUCAACGGAUAAAAGGUACUCCGGGGAUAACAGGCUGAUACCGCCCAAGAGUUCAUAUCGACGGCGGUGUUUGGCACCUCGAUGUCGGCUCAUCACAUCCUGGGGCUGAAGUAGGUCCCAAGGGUAUGGCUGUUCGCCAUUUAAAGUGGUACGCGAGCUGGGUUUAGAACGUCGUGAGACAGUUCGGUCCCUAUCUGCCGUGGGCGCUGGAGAAUUGAGGGGGGCUGCUCCUAGUACGAGAGGACCGGAGUGGACGCAUCACUGGUGUUCGGGUUGUCAUGCCAAUGGCACUGCCCGGUAGCUAAAUGCGGAAGAGAUAAGUGCUGAAAGCAUCUAAGCACGAAACUUGCCCCGAGAUGAGUUCUCCCUGAGACUUUAAGUCUCCUGAAGGAACGUU
rnacentral:rRNA from 1 species